rnacentral:rRNA from 1 species
UCAAGAAACUUCCACAAUGGGCGAAAGCCUGAUGGAGCGACGUCGCGUGAUGGACGAAGUGCUUCGGCACGUAAACAUCUUUUAUGUGGGAUGAAAUUAUUGACAGUACCACAUGAAUAAGGGGCUCCUAACUCUGCGCCAGCAGGAGCGGUAAUACAGAGGCCCCAAGCGUUAUCCGGAAUCACUGGGCGUAAAGGGUGUCGAGGCGGUUGUAUUAGUCGUUCGUAAAAUCUACGAGCUUAACUUGUAGGCGGCGAACGAAACGGUACGACUUGAGGUUUGGAGAGGUGCGUGGAACUCACGGUGUAGGGGUGAAAUCCGUUGAUAUCGUGGGGAACACCAAAGGCGAAGGCAGCGCACUGGCCAAAAUCUGACGCUCACACACGAAAGCUAGGGUAGCGAAGAGGAUUAGAUACCCAAGUAGUCCCUGAGCGGGCUGGCAAGGCGCAU